AGUCCCAAUGUGUCAGGUCCCGGGCUGGGAUCCAUGUCAUCCUUACAACAGUUCAGCAAGAAACAUGUUAUUCGAUCCAUUCACUGAGGAGGAAACUGAAAUCACUCGGAGAGGAGGAGUGAUUCAGCCCCAAAUUCCAAAGUGGUAGAAAUGGACUUGGGCUUCCCUAAUGUCUUAGCUAGUCCCCCAUCUACCUGUCCAUUCCUGGGACAGGUGAGACAGGGGUAUAUGUCAGAGCCAUUAUUCAAGAUCAGAUGACCUGUUAAACUGAGACUUCUGCACCAUCUGAACCAUCAGUCACUCAUCUGAACCAUCAGUCACUCAUCUGAACCAUCAGUCACUCUCUGGCCCAGAGAGGUGGUAUUUGCCAAGGACACACAGCAGGUGGCCAAGAUGGAGCCAAGCCAUUUUCCCCACUGCAGGGCUCUUUCCUGGCUGUCAGCUCCGAGUCCAGCCUCUCCUCGCAUUGCUGCAGACGCUUUCUGAGGAACUCAUUCUCCAUCUGAGCACAGUCGAAGCGCAUCUGCCACUCGUCUGCUGUUUAACGGAGUCAGGGAGACCAGGAUAAGAGACCAAAUGAGUACCCCUGAUCUCCAUUCCCCUGGACAUCUCAAGGGCACAAAUUCUCUGGACACACGGAGGGAAUAAUGCUGACAUUUUAUAGAAGCUGAGCCACUGGAUAUCCUUCUCACCCAACUCCAUUAGGCUGGGGAGAGUAAGAGGCACGGUGACAAGGUGGCAAAGAUGUCACCGUGCCAUCCAAUCACGAGGUCUCCAGGAAACUGUAUAAGAAGGACACCCCCAGAAACUCCUGGCACUACUGAACAAAUGUAUAAUAUCCCUGGGUAAAACCAAGAGUCCUCUCGCCUUCUCGCCAUUUGGUAACUGUUGUGCGCCUGACACAGCUUUACCCUCUUUGAAUGGGGAGAGCAGUAGUUUCUGUUCCACAGGUUGCUAUAAGGAUGAACUGUGAUCUCAUCAUUCCUCAUAAUAAUGGCUUAUCAAGAUGAAGUAAUGAUUACCAUUGCCAUUUUACUGAUGAUGAAACAAAGGCUAAGAGACUUGAAGAAUUUGCCCACAAUCUUGUAGCAAUAAGGGUACAGAGUCAGCCAUCUGGAACUCAAGCUGGCUCGACCCUCUGCCCCUCCAAACUGGACACACAAGAGUGGUUGGGGAAUGGAGUGAGUAUUUCAGCCAGCAUCUAUGAAGAUACCCAGGUGCUAGGUUCCAACAAGAGAUUUUUGUUUCACCACUUCCAAAUUUCAAUGUCUCUGUUCAUGCAAGUCUGUUCCAGCCCUGCCCAGUCGAGGGGCUGAACACAAAUCAUCAGAAUGAGUCCCUUGCUUUGCCUGAGACUGGGUAUGCCCAAGUAUGGACACGGUGCUCAGCACUUCAUUCUCCAGGGAUUGCCUUUCUGCCAGUGGCUCAGCACUGUGCCUAUGACAGCACCAUUCAGAAGCUGCUUCACCGCCCACCCACAGCAGGCGGGUGGAAUGAACUAAGGAGCAGACACACAAAGGAGGGCUAUGCAGCCAUAAAGACAGAACAAGGAGGAGCUCCACAAGAAUGGAAACGGCAAGAUUUUCAGAAUACAUUUUAAGUAGAAAAUAC
rnacentral:antisense_RNA from 1 species